CGUGAGCCCAGAUCAGGCCACUACACUCCAGCCGGGGCAACAGAGCGCAACUCCGUCUCAAAACAAACAAACAAAACAAAACAAAAAAAACUUAUAGACAAGUACAAAAUGAGAAGAAAAAGUCCCUUUCCCUUCAUGCCUCUACUUCCUGCUGUAUUCUCAAAGGACCUUCUCCUGGCAGCUGCCUAUGUUUUGGAUGCCCAGUACAACAGAAAUGUUCCAUUUGAAACUCACCUCAGGCCAUCAGACGUUACUAUUUUUAUAACCACUAGACAACGCAGGUUGCCGCAUACUUCUUUAUUUGUGUAGACCUCGCUCUUGCCCUGUUUGAAGAGCCUGAGUUGCUUCCCCUGCCUUUCUUGGCCACCUCAAUAGCAGAAGUACUCUGCCUGACUGCAUACUUUGGCAGACUGGUACAUUUUGCAAAAGUCACUCCUCAAAUGGUUUUCUGGAAGGAUACAAAAGACAUCUGCACCAUGGUAACCACAGUGGCGAGUGUUCAUUGUAGUACCUGUAAGAGUUUAUGACCAAAGGCAGGAGCCAUGAAGAAAAAAGACUCAAUAGAUUUGCUUUUGAUGAAACAACAACACUUCCAUACAGUGAACGCCAUAAGCACAACUGCAAGCAAA
rnacentral:lncRNA from 1 species